rnacentral:lncRNA from 1 species
CUUCAUCCUGCCUGGCAGGGCACCCUUUGAGGAAUGCCGCACAUGCUGGCUGUCAGCCCCGGGCAUCUUCCAAAGGCUACUCGGAUCCUGAUUCUUUCUUUAGGAUAGAGCCCUAGAAUGCAUACUAUUGGAUCAGCCUUCAAACUUGGUAAGAACUCU